rnacentral:rRNA from 1 species
GUCUUCUUGUUAUAUUUAGGAAGUCUGGCCUGCCCAGUGAAAAUAAUUUAACGGCCGCGGUAUACUGACCGUGCAAAGGUAGCAUAAUCAUUAGUCUUUUAAUAGAGGGCUGGUAUGAAGGGUUUAACGAGGUGUUGACUGUCUCAUUUAAUUUGAAUUUAGAAUUUAAUUUUUUAGUUAAAAAGCUAAAAUAUUAUUGGAAGACGAGAAGACCCUAUAGAGCUUUAUACUUUUACUAUUGAUUUAUUAUAGAUUAUUAUUAUUUAUUAUUAGUAGAAGGUAUUUUGUUGGGGUGACAAAAAUAUAUGAAUAACUUUUUUAUUUUAUUUACAUUGAUAUAUGAAUAUUAGAUCCAAUCUUAUUGAUUGUUAGAUUAAGUUACCUUAGGGAUAACAGCGUAAUCCCUCUCCAGAGUUCAUAUUUACAGAGGGGCUUGCGACCUCGAUGUUGGAUUAAGAUAAUAAUUAGGUGCAGCCGCUUAAUUAAUAGGUCUGUUCGACCUUUAAAUUCUU